GUAGACGGGAUGGUUGUGAGCGGGACAGAAACUCCACCACAAGGGUUCUGGGGGUACUACAGGGACUAAAGGAAGCAGUGUGAUCAGUGUGAAAGCAGCAAGGCCAUGAUUUAUUUCUUGGGCGUGUAGUUUUCUCCCGAGGCCUCUGCUUGGUUAUUUUACCCAGCAUCGGUGCCAAAGGAGAUUUCCCCAAAGGGAAAAGUACUGCAGUGCUCGACGCAUUACAGUCCUUUCCCGUUUGCAAGCUCUCCCACACAUUCCUUCUUCUGUUCCCAAAUCACAGGAGACGACGAGAAAGAGAACAGACCACCUGUCCAGAUAAUUUGCCUUUGGAGUCUGCAGGGCUGGUGAAGGCAUCCUGAGAUGGGGGAGGCCCCUGGGGACCUCCACAGUCAGGGCUCCCACCUCCUCUCCCACACCGCUCUGCCUCAUGCCCUGGGUUGCCUGUCUGACUGUCUCAAGACUGGGGGUUCUCCGGUGAGCAGAUGGCUGCUUAGCGUCUAUGCCGUGUGCCUGGCUUUUUCCAACCACUCCGAAUUGAUCAUUUCCUAAUGACCACAUGGCUCAGAAACUCACAGCACAUCCUUCUAGGGGCCUCUUUCUCCCAAGUCCUCCCAGGGACUUGGCAGCUUCAUCUCUAAGGCCUGCAGAGGCUGUGGCUAUGGCUGUCCAUUGUUCUCGCUCCUUGGCUUCAGUUCAGAGCCAUCAAAUCCC
rnacentral:lncRNA from 1 species